AUGGUAGUAUUCCUAUAGACAAAUAAGUAAGAGAGACACUAAUUAACACUAUAAUGGGCUUAAUGCCCAACUAGAACACUUGCGCCCUACGGCGCCCCUCUUUAUGGCCAUGACACAGGGAAAGCAAAAGAAUGCUUUGAAACGGAAAACAACAUUGGUCUGAAUGUUGUGAGUGCCAUGCGAGAAGCCUAGAAGGAAGCAUAAUUUCAAUUUGAAGGCCGACCCGCAUCAUGGCAAUGGCGAACCUGAUGAACGACUUCCUCCAAUAUGAAGGGGUGAUGCAUGUCGACAGAGGGCACAUGCAAGCUUAGGGACUCUUUUUUUCUCUCUUUCAUAAGAUGCGGUGGCCACUUUGAUAUCUCCAGGAGUUGUACAUUACACUUGGUGAGGUUCAGGGAACAUAAAUAAAGCACUGAUAUGUAUGAUUUAUUGGAUUUCUUGCUGAGGUUUAGGGAAUGGGCACUCCAGAGCUAAAAUAUUGGCGCACUUGAGCUUGGUGACGAUCUCGAUAUGGAGGAUCGGAGCUGGAUGUCUCUUCACAAUCGCACAUGUCCUGAGUAUUUAGAUGGGCUGAAAUCAUUCAUAAGCGUUCUAUCAUCCGAAUUAACCAUCAGUGUUGUGCGAUUGCCAUUAAUAUGGGUCCAGUGAUGUACUGUGUGACUGAAUAAGUUAUGUCCAAUGUUGUAAUAGAUUUCGAACAAGUUGUAAACCUAUUUUGAAUCUGUCAAUGAAUUUGAUAUAAAUGUGGAUCUAUCAAUGUAGUGUGUGACUUAAUA